rnacentral:rRNA from 1 species
CAGAGUUUGAUCCUGGCUCAGAGCGAACGCUGGCGGCAGGCCUAACACAUGCAAGUCGAGCGGGCGUAGCAAUACGUCAGCGGCAGACGGGAGAGUAACACGUGGGAACGCGCCCUUCGGUUCGGAAUAACUCAGGGAAACUUGAGCUAAUACCGGAUACGCCCUUACGGGGAAAGAUUUAUCGCCGAAGGAACGGCCCGCGUCGGAUUAGCUAGUUGGUGAGGUAACGGCUCACCAAGGCGACGAUCCGUAGCUGGUCUAAGAGGAUGAUCAGCCUCACUGGGACUGAGACACGGCCCAGACUCCUACGGGAGGCAGCAGUGGGGAAUAUUGGACAAUGGGCGCAAGCCCGAUCCAGCCAUGCCGCGUGGAUGAUGAAGGCCUUAGGGUUGUAAAGUCCUUUCAGCGGGGAAGAUAAUGACGGUACCCGCAGAAGAAGCCCCGGCUAACUUCGUGCCAGCAGCCGCGGUAAUA